rnacentral:rRNA from 1 species
AAUCAACGCUGGCGGCGUGCCUCAGACAUGCAAGUCGAACGAUUAAAGCUCUCUUCGGAGAGUGCAUAGGAGUGGCGCACGGGUGAGUAACACGUAAGUAAUCUACCUUCGAGUGGGGAAUAACGUCCGGAAACGGGCGCUAAUACCGCAUAAUGCAGCGGCAUCGCAAGAUGACAGUUGUUAAAGGAGCAAUCCGCUUGAAGAGGAGCUUGCGGCAGAUUAGCUAGUUGGUAGGGUAAUGGCCUACCAAGGCUACGAUCUGUAACCGGUCUUAGAGGACGGUCGGUCACACUGACACUGAAUAACGGGUCAGACUCCUACGGGAGGCAGCAGUCGGGAAUUUUGGGCAAUGGGGGAAACCCUGACCCAGCAACGCCGCGUGAAGGAUGAAGUAUUUCGGUAUGUAAACUUCGAAAGAAUAGGAAGAAUUAAUGACGGUACUAUUUAUAAGGUCCGGCUAACUACGUGCCAGCAGCCG